UUCCAGAAUUCUCAGAGUCACUCCAGUGUGUCCUUGAGCACAGGGCCCCCUUCACAGUUCCUCGUUGGUGCCUGGGUGGCUAUUGUUUAGGGCCACAGAGGAGCCAGUGCCCUCUCCCCCGCCCCACUUCCUGAAGGAGCACAGGUGUUGGGCCAGACCUACCCAGGACUGGUUCUCAGGAGCUACUCUUCAGUGAUAUGCACGUACGUCUGAAAUGUGAACCUGCAGGUAUGGAGGGUCCUGCCUCAAAUGCAUGGUGAGACAAUGCACUUUAGAGGAGGCAGACAGGGCUCAGUGCUGUGCCUGGCUACGCCACCUCCAAGGAUGGCAUUUCCAGCCCCAGAGGAAAAGUUGUGUAACUUUUGGAAGACUGAAUGGUCAGCAUGGCAUGAUACCAGAUGUAUAAAUUGUGAAAUGUAAAUCCUAAAUCAGCUUCCCCCCCACCUCCUCCUAAGCGAUCGGGCACUGAGCGGUAUUAUACGAUCUAAACUUUCAGUAACAGCAAGAACGUUACACCAUUAAUUGGGACGAAUUGGUUAGCAUCUGUAUCUCCAUAUACCACCCCGGUCUUAUUAAAUCUAAAUCAUAUUCGCACUCGGCAGCUCUGAUUUAAACUGUAAACCCAGCGUGGCGAAAGGAUACCUGCUGUUUGAAGAGCGAUCUUUCUUUCUCCUCCGAUUUCUGGCUUGAUUCGACAUACGCUGUGCAGCAUCAGGCCACGCCUGUGAGAGCCCGUGAGGCGGUGGCAGGGGCCCAGAA